CUAUACAUGACUCUGCGCAUAUCAAUAAGCGGAGGAAAAGAAACUAACAAGGAUUCCCUUAGUAACGGCGAUUGAAGCGGGAAGAGCUCAAAUUUGAAAUCUUCAAGGUUUUACCUUGACGAAUUGUAGUUUAAAGAGGUGUUUUCUGCUGAAGUUUUGGUAAAAGUUCUUUGGAAUAGGACAUCAUAGAGGGUGAGAAUCCCGUAUUUGACCAUUAUUUUCAGCUUCGUGAUACACUUUCAAAGAGUCGGAUUGUUGGGAAUGCAGUCCAAAAUGGGUGGUAAAUUUCAUCUAAAGCUAAAUAUUGGCGAGAGACCGAUAGGCGAACAAGUACCGUGAGGGAAAGAUGAAAAGAACUUUGAAAAGAGAGUUAAACAGUACGUGAAAUUGUCAAAAGGGAAGCGUUUGACACCAGUGUUGUUUUUCUGAAAAUCAAUUAAAGAACUGUUUAUGCUAAGUUGUUUAGACUUUAUCAGCUAUCUGUUUAGUUUUGAGCUUUUCUUUAAUGCACUUUUCAGUUAACAAGUCAACAUCAAUUUCUUUUGCUGUAAAAAAGCUUGAGGAAGGUGGCCUGAGAUUCGUCUUAAGUGUUUAUAGCCUCUUGCCUAUGCAGUCGGAGAGAUUGAGGUCUGCAGCGUAGAUCCUUCGGGGCUAAAUGCAUUUGUGCUAAGUUAUAGCAUUUUAUAGACAACUUGUUGACUAUAAUUAGUCUUGUAGCUUACUCGCUUAUGUUAUUUUACCUACGCUUAGGAUGUUGACAGCAGUAUAGACUGU
rnacentral:rRNA from 1 species